UACUCAAUGUAGAUCAUGCAAUUGAUUAAUUGAAUUUUUUCUAAGCCAGAGAUUAUAUAUACCCACGCACCCAUCCAUCCACUUACCCACACACUCAGAGAUGACAGCAAAAAUGCACUUCCCUUCGUCGACAUCAUCAUCAUCUUCCCUUAUUACCCUUUUCUUCUUGCUCUUGGUUAUAAUCUCCAUGUUCCUUCUUGGGGUCUUGGCUGACAUGCCUACGAAACGGGCCUCGGCUGGAUACCCUAAACGUAAACCGAGCCCCUUAAUUAUGCCACGGCCAAGCCAUUCUCCUCACGCACCUUGGCCCUAGGUUGCAGCAUGUCCACCGCCACUGCGUUGAUCAGACAGCAUGUUGGUUGUUCUAGAUGCCACCAAGCAAAGAAUUUGGCGUCUCUCGUGAUCGUGAUAUAUAUGUAAUAUGUAAUAAUACUCUUGGUAUGUAUUUGGUGUAGCAAAAUUAUUUCAGUUCCCUGUAUUCACAUCAUCUUCAAGACAUUCUCAUGUGCAGACUUGUCUUUUGAUGAUAGUGAAAUAUAAAGAAAUAAAUUUCACAGUUCACUCUUAGAUAAUGUUCACCUGAGUAUAGACAUCUCAUCAUCGCCUUGCGCCUCAGGAAGUGGGGCAAUUUCAUUGGUCCACUUGAGGAGCCUCCUAUCUCAAAAGGUAUUUGGUGGCAUAAUUAUUUAAAAGGUCAUAAAUAUAUUAUACGA